rnacentral:rRNA from 1 species
AUGAUGGGAAUAACUAAGCAUAAAUUUGGAAAUGAGCACGAAAUGUCUAUAAAUGAUUUUUCUCAUUAUUCUUUAUUUUCUGGUCUUUUCGUUGCAUUCACUUACAACAAGAAACAACCACCAGCGUUUGGUGCAGCACUUGCAUUUUGGUGCAUUCUUCUUCCUUUCCUUGGUCUUUCGUUCCGUCAUAUUCCAAAUAACUUAUCUAAUUACAACGUAUUAACCGCUAAUGCACCUUUUUUUUAUCAAAUCUUAGGGACAUGGUCUAAUCAUGAGGGUAGUAGUUUAUCAUGGUGUUGGAUCCCAAGUUUUUAUGGAUUCCUUUUUUGUUACCGGGGUCGACCCCAAAGCCAUAAUGUCUCAAAACGAAGAGGCUAUAGAGAAACUUUGAUUUUUUCCUUUGUCUCGAACUUUGUGAAGAACUCCAUGCUAUCUCUCCAACAAAAAAGUUGGGCUGCGCCCCAGUUGUACACUCCCUUCAUUCGGAGAACCCUUGUUGAUUCUGAACUUCGUUCGCAAAGUAAGCGUCCUUUUAACGGGCCAGCCCUUUUUAAUGCGCCGCUUGACCCUGUUUUGAAAAUGAGCUUUGCUCUUCUGGGCGCUGGGCACUCCCGUGGUUCGCGAGAAGGAAAAAGGACUAAUCUUUUGUUACAUCUGGCACGAGAUGAAAAAGAGAGAGCUUCGUCUAUCGAUGAAUAG